UAGUCUAGUCUAGUCUAGUCUAGUCUAGUCGCUUUACGUGAGUAGUGUGGGCUUGUGGGCCUCGGCAGCAGUAAAGCUAGCUGCUGCUAGUGAUAGGGUGAGCUUGUGGGCUCCUGGAAGUGCCUCCUCGUGGUGUGGAGUUUUUGUUUGGUUGUGUUCUUUGUUGUUGCAACCUUUUUUUUCCUUUUUCCAAGUGUUAUUGGUAAAACGGUGUUGCUGGCUCUUUAUGUUAAGGUUAUCUAUAAUAAAGACUAUUGUAUUUGCUAAAUACCUGUUUUCCUUUCAUUCUGUUCUGGACUCAUUUGUUACUGGUCCCCUCACUCGCAUGCCUAGACCCCUUCGGGGGGAUGUAACAAUGUGGUCCGGGAUAUGAAUAGAAGGGACAGCAAUUGAGUAUUAGUGGGUUGUUUGCCGGUGGCCUGUUUAGUUGUAUUGUAUCUGCAGUGCUCUCUCUCCAGUUAGAAAAGGGGAGUGUCUAGCUGAGUGUAAGCUCCUCCUUCAGGCACUCAUUUUUUAUUUUGCUUUUUUUAUUUUCGGAGUAAUCCUGGGUGGGGAUUAGUUCCCUGUCGGGGGUAGGCUUGUCGGUGAUUUGUGCACUUGAUGCUUAGCCUUUAAAGUUGCCUCGAGCCUGGUACACUCCAGAAGCUAACUAGGCUAAGAUUUUAGUAGGCAGGUCUGGGGAGAGGGUCGGUGGUAAUUUUAUUUAUUGGUUAACCUGUGGCCACAUGGCCCACCCGUUUUAUUCAUUUGUGUAUUGGAGGUGGUGCUUCUUUGUUGUUACUGUUAGCCUCAGGUAGUUGUUUUAGUUUCAAUGGCUACCUUUGAUAUUGCCGUGUUUAAGGAAAACCCUUCGUUUGUCCAGCUGGACGCCUGUAGGAAGAGGGAUUUGCAUGAGGUGGUGUCAUUCUAUGGCAUUUGUGUCUCCACAGCUCUGCGUAAGGCUGAGCUGAAAGCUGCUCUUGUGUCUGGCUUGGUGGAGAAAGGGAUAAGAUAAGAAAACCUUUAUUAGUCCCACACGUGGGAAAUUUGUUUUGUCACAGCAGGAAGUGGACAGUGCAAAGUUAUGAAGCAAAAAUUAGAGUAUAAUAAGAAUAAAUACAGUAUACA
ensembl:lncRNA